AUUGAACGCUGGCGGCAUGCUUUACACAUGCAAGUCGAACGGUAACAGGCCGCAAGGUGCUGACGAGUGGCGAACGGGUGAGUAAUGCAUCGGAACGUGCCCAGUCGUGUGGGAUAACGCAGCGAAAGCUGUGCUAAUACCGCAUACGAUCUAUGGAUGAAAGCGGGGGACCGUAAGGCCUCGCGCGAUUGGAGCGGCCGAUGUCAGAUUAGGUAGUUGGUGGGGUAAAGGCCCACCAAGCCAACGAUCUGUAGCUGGUCUGAGAGGACGACCAGCCACACUGGGACUGAGACACGGCCCAGACUCCUACGGGAGGCAGCAGUGGGGAAUUUUGGACAAUGGGCGCAAGCCUGAUCCAGCAAUGCCGCGUGCAGGAAGAAGGCCUUCGGGUUGUAAACUGCUUUUGUACGGAACGAAACGGUCUGGGUUAAUACCUCGGGCUAAUGACGGUACCGUAAGAAUAAGCACCGGCUAACUACGUGCCAGCAGCCGCGGUAAUAC
rnacentral:rRNA from 1 species